UGGGCCCUUACAGCGGAGGGGGCUCCCAGGGGCAAGGGCCCCCCUUACCUGGAUGUAGGCCGUCUGCAGGUAGCUGUAGGGCAGGCGGCGCUGGAAAUCCGCGCGGACCUCCUCGCUGACGACGUGCCGGGAGUCUGCGCCCAGCUGCGCGCCUUGACGGCAGGAGCGCAGGCAGCGCGCCCGGCGGAGCAGCGCGGCGGCGAAGAGCAGGUCCCGCCGGGCGUCCCGCGCUCCCUCCUCCUCCUGCGGACGCUGCGGCUCCUGGGCGGCGGGCGGCAGCGGAGCCUCCCGGCGACAGCUCAGCCCGCAACGCAGGCGCGUUUUCCGCAGGCGGCGCUCGGCGCUCAGCGCCCGUUCCAGGCAGCGCACGGCGCCCGCGAAGUCCCCGCGCGAGUGCGCCUCCACGCCGGCCGCGUAGAGCGCGUCGAAGGGCGGCGGCGGGUCCGGGCCCGGCUCCGGGGGGCAGGCGGGCGGCGGAUCGGCGUUUCCGGGCGGCGGCAGCAGCAGCGGCAGCAGCAUCAGCAGGCGCAAGAAGCGGCUCCUGCGCCCGACGGCCAUCCCCGGCCCGCCGUCCGCGGUCGGGCGCGCCGUCGAGCAGGCCGGGCGGAGCGAGACGGGCAGGUGUCGGAGGCCGCCGGCUGGAGGUGCGGGGGGGGGGCGCAGAAGGGACCGAGAGCGACGCUCGACGGGGCGGGAGGGCGCCGAGCGUGCAGCCCUUGCUCGACGGGCAGGCGGCUUCUCCAGAUAGCUCGGCACACACAGGCUGGGACGGAGCCCGCGCCAAGAUCCGGAGCCGGGACUUCGGGGGGCAGCGGCGUCGGCACCGCUCUCCGGCUGCUGUGACGGGGCGAGUGAGUGUGGCGGCGGUGCGGCUCCUCUCCUGCGCGCACGCCGGCUGUGCCGGCACCGGCGACGCCAGGGCCGGCGCGCCUCCCACGGGCGGCCGCCCGCCUCCCCUCCCCUCCCCUCCCUCCCGGCUCCGUAGGGACAGCCUGCCCUGGCCGAGGGGGGGGGAGGAGCAGGCGGAGCCCGGCCGGGCCCGGCCCUUCGCCCAGCCGAGGGGAGGGAAGGACCGCGCGCGGCGGAGGAGCGAGGCGAGCGGACGCAG
rnacentral:lncRNA from 1 species